GACGAACGCUGGCGGCGUGCUUAACACAUGCAAGUCGAACGGUAAGGCCCUUCGGGGUACACGAGUGGCGAACGGGUGAGUAACACGUGGGUGAUCUGCCCUGCACUUCGGGAUAAGCCUGGGAAACUGGGUCCAAUACCGGAUAGGACCACUGCCUGCAUGGGUGGUGGUGGAAAGCUUUUGCGGUGUGGGAUGGGCCCGCGGCCUAUCAGCUUGUUGGUGGGGUGAUGGCCUACCAGGGCGACGACGGGUGGCCGGCCUGAGAGGGUGACCGGCCACACUGGGACUGAGAUACGGCCCAGACUCCUACGGGAGGCAGCAGUGGGGAAUAUUGCACAAUGGGCGCAAGCCUGAUGCAGCAACGCCGCGUGAGGGAUGACGGCCUUCGGGUUGUAAACCUCUUUUAGUAGGGAAGAAGCGAAAGUGACGGUACCUGCAGAAAAAGCACCGGCUAACUACGUGCCAGCCGCCGCGGUAA
rnacentral:rRNA from 1 species